UUGGACUUCAUAGAAGAAGUGGGGUUGAGUGGAAUAUUUUCUAACACCGUGUCUCCAAAGUGAUCUUGAAGAACUCUGCAGUUGUUCAGUGCCUUCUGUUUGGGAAGUCAGAUGCCACAUAUGAGUGUCCAGAGGCUGCAUCAGUGAAAAAGAAAGAAUUUAUCAUACUUAAAGGCUGAUCAUGCAGCAGAAUUACUUCGGACAGGAAAUGGAGUUAUAAUCUGAAGUUCUUGGAGAUCUGGGACUUGUUCGCUUCACCCAUGCCAAGGUAUAUGACUCUACCUGGGCAGCCCUCACGUCUGCUAGGGCUCAAGCUGAGAUUCUGGCUUCAUGGACUAGCAUCUCAUGGCAAGAAAAGCAGAAAAUUUUCUGUUUUCUAGGUACUCUUACAGAAUGCUAUUUGCCCUCAAAUCUGAGUAAUCUAUGCUUUUUCAAACAGUAUUAGGUGCCAAUCUUUCAAUAUCAAAGCCCACCUGAAAGCACCCACCACACCCCAGAACAUCAUGAUGGGUUAGGUAUGCAGCUCAUAUAAUCUGAUACUGACCUUAAUAAUAAUCUUGCUAAAGCAAGAUAGCUGUUGAUAGCUGUUUCAGAUGCCCUGGAGUGUCAGCAGUCCAAGUGAUGCUGUUGAGAUUGCAAGGCAUUUCUGGAAGAACAAUGAUCUUCUGAGCUGAUUGUGUCAGGCUGAGUGGGGGCACCCUGUAUGCAGCACUUAUGCACUGAAGAUAUUGUAAGUCAGGAGACGUUAGUCUCACCCACACAAAAUCUUGUAAUAGAACAAUUAAGUUAAUGCAUCAUGUUUUUAAAAUUAUUGUUGACAGAAAUAUUCUGAGGAAACCAUCUGUAUUUCAAGCUGAAAUGAUAUUAUUUCUUGAUACUGAGUAAGGCGCUUAAUAGAAUAGGUUUAUUUUCCUUGUACUUUUAAUUCUUGUGAACAUUUGUUUGCAUAUUCUGCAAGAGUGGAACCUGGGACUCUGGCUAAGGGCCAGAAGCUCUCAAGUAGAAUGUUAAAAAUUAGUUCCACUGAUUCAUCUGGAGGAAAAUAUCUGUCUACAUAAGUGAAAGGACCAAAGGGCCUAAAUUCUGUAGCUUUAUACAGAAUUUUUACCUGUCUUCAGCUUUCAGGCACCCCUGUCUACACAACUGCAUUCUCUUCCCCUCUUGCCCUUUUGUCCAAACAUGUGGUGGUGUAAUUCUGUGUAAUUCCAUUGAUGUAACUUUGCUGACUUACCUUGGCUGAGAGUUUCCCUCAGCCUGGGCAGUUUAAUCACAUUUCUAUGAUUAUUAUUGAAUUAGAGCUUUCAACAAACUUUUCAAUAUCAUAAUUUGUAAAUACUGAAAAGCAACAAUUUAAUUCCUGAAUAAAAAUAUUCAGCAAUUUUUCUUUCCAGUUUAAACACUGGCCCUUAAGUAUCCCAUUGACAAGAAUCUGUUGCAAGUGUUUUCAUUGUUUUCUAUUUGCUCUGUGGUGAGCUAAGUGUUUCUGAAUUUCCUGGGCGGAUUCUUCAGACUGUGACAUGCUGAA